GAUGAACGCUAGCGGCGUGCCUAAUACAUGCAAGUCGAGCGAACAGAUAAGGAGCUUGCUCCUUUGACGUUAGCGGCGGACGGGUGAGUAACACGUGGGUAACCUACCUAUAAGACUGGAAUAACUCCGGGAAACCGGGGCUAAUGCCGGAUAACAUUUAGAACCGCAUGGUUCUAAAGUGAAAGAUGGUUUUACUAUCACUUAUAGAUGGACCCGCGCCGUAUUAGCUAGUUGGUAAGGUAACGGCUUACCAAGGCAACGAUACGUAGCCGACCUGAGAGGGUGAUCGGCCACACUGGAACUGAGACACGGUCCAGACUCCUACGGGAGGCAGCAGUAGGGAAUCUUCCGCAAUGGGCGAAAGCCUGACGGAGCAACGCCGCGUGAGUGAUGAAGGUCUUCGGAUCGUAAAACUCUGUUAUUAGGGAAGAACAAAUGUGUAAGUAACUGUGCACGUCUUGACGGUACCUAAUCAGAAAGCCACGGCUAACUACGUG
rnacentral:rRNA from 1 species